rnacentral:rRNA from 1 species
GAUGAACGCUAGCGGCAGGCCUAACACAUGCAAGUCGAGGGAGGAGCUUUCGGGCUUCGACCGGCGUACGGGUGCGUAACGCGUAUACAAUCUGCCUUUCACAUAGGGAUAGCCCGAAGAAAUUUGGAUUAAUACCUAAUGGUAUAUAGGAGUGGCAUCACAUUUAUAUUAAAGCUGAGGCGGUGAAAGAUGAGUAUGCGUUCUAUUAGCUAGUUGGAGAGGUAACGGCUCCCCAAGGCGACGAUAGAUAGGGGUUCUGAGAGGGAUAUCCCCCACACUGGUACUGAGAUACGGACCAGACUCGUACGGGAGGCAGCAGUGAAGAAUAUUAGACAAUGGUCGGAAGACUGAUCCAGCCAUGCCGCGUGCAGGAAGACGGCCUUAUGGGUUGUAAACUGCUUUUGCAGGGGAAGAAUAAGGACUACGAGUAGUUUGCUGACGGUACUCUGCGAAUAAGCAUCGGCUAACUCCGUG